GUCGGGGUAGAGAAGUUCGGCCAUCUCGCUGUCCUCAUAAGUCAGAGACCGUGGGUUCAAAUCCCACCCCCGCCAC
rnacentral:tRNA from 2 species